UACGGGGGGGGCAAGCGUUGUUCGGAAUUACUGGGCGUAAAGGGCGCGUAGGCGGCUGGGGAAGUCGGCGGUGAAAGCCCGGAGCUCAACUCCGGGUCGGCCGUCGAGACUCCUCGGCUCGAGCUCACUAGAGGCAGAUGGAAUUCCGGGUGUAGCGGUGGAAUGCGUAGAGAUCCGGAAGAACACCGGUGGCGAAGGCGGUCUGCUGGGGUGAGGCUGACGCUGAGGCGCGACAGCGUGGGGAGCAAACAGG
rnacentral:rRNA from 1 species